AUUGAACGCUGGCGGCAGGCCUAACACAUGCAAGUCGAACGAGUGGCGGACGGGUGAGUAAGGUCUGGGAAACUGCCUGAUGGAGGGGGAUAACUAAUGGAAACGGUAGCUAAUACCGCAUACCAUCGGAUGUGCCCAGAUGGGAUGAGCUAGUAGGUGGGGUAAAGGCUCACCAAGGCGACGAUCCCUAGCUGGUCUGAGAGGAUGACCAGUCACCCUGGAACUGAGACACGGUCCAGACGCCUACGGGAGGCAGCAGUGGGGAAUAUUGCACAAGGGGCGCAAGCCUGAUGCAGCCAUGCCGCGUGUAUGAAGAAGGCCUUCGGGUUGUAAAGUACUUUCAGCGGGGAGGCGUUACCCGCAUAAGAAGCACCGGCUAACUCCGUGCCAGCAGCCGCGGUAAUAC
rnacentral:rRNA from 1 species